rnacentral:lncRNA from 1 species
AACUUUCAUCCAAUUUUUGAAAAGCAAUCCAGAACCCAAAAGUGCUCUGCACCAUCAGCUGCCUUUAUCAUCAAAGACUCUUGGGAGACCAGGCUGCUAUCUUGCAAGGCCCGAAUUACAGAGAUGAAGAGGACACAUUCUCUGCCCUUGGGUUACAGUUUAGGAGAGGAAGCAGGAAGGAAUCAUCAAAGGAAUAAUUAUCUAUUUAAAAUUUGGAUCUGGAUGCAAGGUUGGAACUGUAGCUCCUGGAGCCUGAACAGCACCCUCUUUGGGGGUGGGAACAAACAACCAGCUGGAAAAGAUGAAAGAUUACUUGGAUAUUAUGACGACCUAGGGGAUUGGAAUUACUGCAAUUGUGUCAAGCAAGAGUGGGAUAUAUGUGUGUGUGUAUCUCCUAAUGUUGUAUUAUCCUUCUGUUUGACUGUCAAGGGAGCAACUUCUUGCAAUAUCACGAUAGGAUCACUACUGUUGACUAGGAAACUAUCUACAACAAGAGAGUCAUGUGGAAAUGGAGAAAUAACAGAUACCCCUGUCUUCAAAUAA